GACAGAGGUGCCGAGCGUUUAGGCGGAAUCACUGGGCUUAAAGCGUGUGUAGGCGGAUCGUUAAGUGCCUUGUGAAAUCCCACGGCUCACCCGUGGAACUGCUGGGCAUACUGGCGGUCUUGAGCCACCUAGGGGCAACCGGAACAAACGGUGGAGCGGUGAAAUGCGUAGAUAUCGUUUGGAACGCCAAUGGUGAAAACAGGUUGCUGGGGUGUGCUGACGCUGGAGACACGAAAGCCAGGGAGCAAACGGG
rnacentral:rRNA from 1 species